rnacentral:rRNA from 1 species
AACGAACGCUGGCGGCAUGCCUAACACAUGCAAGUCGAACGAGACCUUCGGGUCUAGUGGCGCACGGGUGCGUAACGCGUGGGAACCUGCCCUUAGGUUCGGAAUAACUCCCCGAAAGGGGUGCUAAUACCGGAUAAUGUCUUCGGACCAAAGAUUUAUCGCCUUUGGAUGGGCCCGCGUUGGAUUAGCUAGUUGGUAGGGUAAAAGCCUACCAAGGCGACGAUCCAUAGCUGGUCUGAGAGGAUGAUUGGCCACACUGGGACUGCGACACGGCCCAGACUCCUACGGGAGGCAGCGGUGGGGAAUAUUGGACAAUGGGCGAAAGCCUGAUCCAGCAAUGCCGCGUGAGUGAUGAAGGCCUUAGGGUUGUAAAGCUCUUUUACCCGGGAUGAUAAUGACAGUACCGGGAGAAUAAGCACCGGCUAACUCCGUG